GGCCUGAUAGCACAGCGGUUAGUGCGUCUGCCUAUCGUAUGCCGAGUGAUAUGCUGUUCUGCAGGAGAUCCCCGUUCGAUUCGGGGUCAGGUCA